UACGAAGGGGGCUAGCGUUGUUCGGAAUUACUGGGCGUAAAGCGUGCGCAGGCGGUUUUGUAAGUCUGUCGUGAAAGCCCCGGGCUCAACCUGGGAAUUGCGAUGGAGACUGCAAGGCUUGAAUCUGGCAGAGGGGGGGUAGAAUUCCACGUGUAGCAGUGAAAUGCGUAGAGAUGUGGAGGAACACCGAUGGCGAAGGCAGCCCCCCUGGGUCAAGAUUGACGCUCAUGCACGAAAGCGUGGGGGAGCAAACAGG
rnacentral:rRNA from 1 species